CACGCUUUCAUAAACCAUUUGUUAUCUUCUCAGCACGCGCACGGGGACGGUUGUCCUUCACUUGUCUGACAGAAGGAUAAGGAAAUCUUGGUUAAAAGACAGAUACGAUACUUGCUCCUUUAGGCUUCUGCUACUGACAUUGACCGAGUAAGAAACAGCUUUGGCGAGGCAAAAACGGAGAACGUAUGGCUGGUUAAGACGCCUUCUUUCAUCGAUGUAUUCUGAUAUCGCUGUGAAGCGAUUCCUUUGCUACUGUACAGAGACGCAGCGAGUGGAACUUGUAGCACUAUAGAUAUUUGCGCGCAAGGAAUAUCAGCUGGUGUUUGUAAAACAAUCUAGUUUACCUGCUUGGAUACCACUUGCUCGUUGAUCAAAUUCAGGGUCAUCAGCGCGGACUGUGUUAUUCUGGAUACAGUACCAGAGGAGCAAGAAGACCGCUUUUACAUCGCCGAGGGCUGAAUUGGAUGAAGAUCACCAGAUCAUACGGGAAGAGAGAGUUGGACCAAACCAUUGAUUAAGAGUUCAAUAAGGUAAGUUCA